rnacentral:rRNA from 1 species
CGGGUGAGUAACACGUGGAUAACCUACCUAUAAGACUGGGAUAACUUCGGGAAACCGGAGCUAAUACCGGAUAAUAUUUUGAACCGCAUGGUUCAAAAGUGAAAGACGGUCUUGCUGUCACUUAUAGAUGGAUCCGCGCUGCAUUAGCUAGUUGGUAAGGUAACGGCUUACCAAGGCAACGAUGCAUAGCCGACCUGAGAGGGUGAUCGGCCACACUGGAACUGAGACACGGUCCAGACUCCUACGGGAGGCAGCAGAC